CCGCGGUAAUACGUAGGGUGCAAGCGUUGUCCGGAAUUAUUGGGCGUAAAGAGCUCGUAGGCGGUUUGUCGCGUCUGCUGUGAAAUCCCGAGGCUCAACCUCGGGCUUGCAGUGGGUACGGGCAGACUAGAGUGCGGUAGGGGAGAUUGGAAUUCCUGGUGUAGCGGUGGAAUGCGCAGAUAUCAGGAGGAACACCGAUGGCGAAGGCAGAUCUCUGGGCCGUAACUGACGCUGAGGAGCGAAAGCAUGGGGAGCGAACAGGAUUAGAUACCCUGGUAGUCCAUGCCGUAAACGUUGGGCGCUAGAUGUAGGGACCUUUCCACGGUUUCUGUGUCGUAGCUAACGCAUAAGCGCCCC
rnacentral:rRNA from 1 species